UGACGAUAUCGUCAAGACGCCACGGCUGCGACGAGGAUCGCGUUCCCAGGUUUACGAUUCGGGCCAGCGGGUGUCGCAAAAGGUUACGGCCAUCAAAAACCACGAAAAAUGACGAAUUUACGAGCUUUGAUACGAUAGCAAAUGCUUGUUGAUACCAAAAAAUACAGAGAAACGAGUCAAACUUUGCGUUUGCUUCCAAACAUUGUUUUCGAAGUCGGUGGACUUGUCUCGAGAAGCCCUCGAUUGAUCGUGGUCGAGUUUGCAAGGCAUGCGAUUUUAUUCGCGAUCUUCAAAUUGAUGUUCAUUUUUU